rnacentral:lncRNA from 1 species
GCUGAUUAUGAAAGGGUUUAUAAGAAUGAUUUAAAUCGGUCGUUGUUAUAUAUUUACAAUGUGGGGUUCAAAGUCUAAAUUAAUCCUAAAAAAUAACGAAUGCUUGCACGAUGCCUAAUUUACACACGGCGUUUAGAAUUUUAAUUAAGGCUAUAUGUCUUUAUGGAUAGUGAUUUUGGUCACAUCUUCUUUUUGGAGGGAAAUUUCUAUUGUUG